rnacentral:tRNA from 1 species
GGAGCAGGGGCUCAGUGGUAGAGCACCCACCUAGCAUGUGUAGGGCCCUGGGUUCAAUCCUCAGCACCA